UGGGGAUAUUGGACAAUGGGCGAAAGCCUGAUCCAGCCAUGCCGCGUGUGUGAAGAAGGUCUUCGGAUUGUAAAGCACUUUAAGUUGGGAGGAAGGGCAUUAACCUAAUACGUUAGUGUUUUGACGUUACCGACAGAAUAAGCACCGGCUAACUCUGUGCCAGCAGCCGCGGUAAUU
rnacentral:rRNA from 1 species